rfam:Bacillus sp. KCTC 13219 scaffold9.1, whole genome shotgun sequence.
AGGACAGUAUCUGUAUAGAACUGUACCGAUAGUGCAAUUUAACUUGAUUCAGCAAAAGUCCCUUACUUUUAAAAAUAGCGGGAUGAAUGCUGGAAAAGUAACUAAGCCAGAGGAGUGCUUAAACCCUAGCUGAUUCAAGUUAAGCCUUCGGCGGAUGUCACAGAUUUUGAAGGGGAGCUUUCGAGUUAACUCGAAAAAAUCUGGACACAAUUACGUCGAGGCGUAAUUGAUUGAAUAACAGUCUGCCUUGAUCUAAUUAGACAGGGACGGAAGA